UACAGAGGGGGCAAGCGUUGUUCGGAAUUACUGGGCGUAAAGGGCGCGUAGGCGGCCUGCUAAGUCGAACGUGAAAUCCCUGGGCUCAACCCAGGAACUGCGUCCGAUACUGGUUGGCUUGAAUCCGGGAGAGGGAUGUGGAAUUCCAGGUGUAGCGGUGAAAUGCGUAGAUAUCAGGAGGAACACCGAUGGCGAAGGCAGGUCUCUGGGCAUUAACUGACGCUGAGGAGCGAAAGCAUGGGGAGCGAACAGG
rnacentral:rRNA from 1 species